rnacentral:rRNA from 1 species
UGAGGAAUAUUGGUCAAUGGGCGAGAGCCUGAACCAGCCAAGUAGCGUGCAGGAUGACGGCCCUAUGGGUUGUAAACUGCUUUUAUGUGGGGAUAAAGUGCGUGACGUGUCAUGCAUUGCAGGUACCACAUGAAUAAGGACCGGCUAAUUCCGUGCCAGCAGCCGCGGUAAUACGGAAGGUCCGGGCGUUAUCCGGAUUUAUUGGGUUUAAAGGGAGCGUAGGCUGUCUAUUAAGCGUGUUGUGAAAUUUACCGGCUCAACCGGUGGCUUGCAGCGCGAACUGGUCGACUUGAGUAUGCAGGAAGUAGGCGGAAUUCAUGGUGUAGCGGUGAAAUGCUUAGAGAUCAUGACGAACUCCGAUUGCGCAGGCAGCUUACUGUAGCAUAACUGACGCUGAUGCUCGAAAGUGCGGGUAUCAAACAGG